rnacentral:rRNA from 1 species
UACGGGGGGUGCAAGCGUUGUUCGGAAUCACUGGGCGUAAAGCGCACGUAGGCGGCCAGGUAUGUCGGAUGUGAAAGCCCUUGGCUCAACCAAGGAAGGGCAUCCGAAACUGCCUGACUUGAGUCCGGUAGAGGAGGGUGGAAUUCCGGGUGUAGAGGUGAAAUUCGUAGAUAUCCGGAGGAACACCAGUGGCGAAAGCG